ACUCCUACGGGAGGCAGCAGUGGGAAUAUUGGACAAUGGGCGGAAGCCUGAUCCAGCAACGCCGCGUGAGGGAUGACGGCCUUCGGGUUGUAAACCUCUUUCACCGAUGGCGAAGCCGUCCCUUUUUGGGGGUGGUGUAGCGGUAGUCGGAGAAGAAGCACCGGCCAACUACGUGCCAGCAGCCGCGGUAAUACGUAGGGUGCGAGCGUUGUCCGGAAUUAUUGGGCGUAAAGGGCUCGUAGGCGGUCUGUUGCGUCGGGAGUGAAAACACCGGGCUUAACUCGGUGCUUGCUUUCGAUACGGGCAGACUGGAGGCAUGCAGGGGAGAAUGGAAUUCCUGGUGUAGCGGUGAAAUGCGCAGAUAUCAGGAGGAACACCGGUGGCGAAGGCGGUUCUCUGGGCAUGUUCUGACGCUGAGGAGCGAAAGUGUGGGGAGCGAACAGGAUUAGAUACCCUGGUAGGCUCUGCU
rnacentral:rRNA from 1 species